GCAACCCCAGGUCAGGCUGGGCCACCUGUGCGAGU
rnacentral:rRNA from 1 species